UAUAAAUCCUGUGCGCGACAUUCCCCAUUCUUUUCUGUUCUUCAUGGCGAUGUUGCAUGACACUCCUCUCCACAGGCGCGCUGCUGUGACUGUUCAAGGCUUGUUCUUCCUUAAAAGUGCCAUGGUGAGAUGCUUUAGAUGGUGCUUUUGUCCACCCCUUCUCCAGGCUGAAUCCUGUGGAUCACCAGAUCACUCUGUGCGAGUGCACUGCUGAUAUGUCGAGUUCCGUAGACACAUGGUCGUGACCUGCUGAAUUGAGUGCAGGCAGAAGGCAUUCCUGGUCUUAAGAGCUGUGGUUCAGCAUGGUGCUGUGCAGUAGGUGCAAGAGGAAUGAGGUUAAUGUUGGGGAAGGCUGUUCAUUUUGUGCAAGAUCAAGGAAGACCGACUUGAUGUUUUCCAUGUUUGCAUGUUAAAGACCUGACCCGUUGAAUAAAGUGGAAUUUCAGUGUUAAUGAAUGUCUGUUCAUUUGAAAUUAUUUUGUAGCCUGUGUUCUAUUCAGUUAAUUUUUUCGGAGCAGUGUUUCGCAUUCCUGCUUCUGCAGUAUCCCUGCCCUGUACAUUUGGAGUGGGGGUGGAGUCUGUAAGGGCAAUAUGAGGAAUAUCAGUUUUCAAAUACACUUCUACAAUAUGCCUCAUGAUGUAUAGGGUUGCUCAGAAACUGCUGCCAAAUGCAGUGGUGUUACUCUUUAAUAUAAAUUUGAAUAAAUAUUUUUAUUUGGGAGAAACUAACACAACUUUAAGAGUUUAGAGUACAUUUAAAAAUUGUAAGUGACCCUUAGCUUGUAUCUGUAAACAUCUGUUUAUUUUGAGCAGGUGUGGUGGUCUCUAAUUUUUAUACAUGUAAUGUAAAAAUUUGUGUUAAAAUAAAGCUUAUAACCUAAAUCCUUAUUUCCUGACUGAAAUUGACAGUAAAUGUGUUUUACAUAUUUGGAGAAUUAAAAGCGGUCACUUUAUAGAAUUGAACAGUGCAUAUUGCACACAUUUUAGGCUUGUAUGUUAAAAUAACCUGUUGCUAUAUAACAUGCAUUAUUGCAUCUCAAAAUAAAGGUUGGUUCCUCCAGGUUUGUGCUUAUGGAUUUCACCUGGCAUUGACACUGGCAUUAAUAAGAUCAAGUCAUUUAGGAUGUAUAUGCUUAAAAAAAAAAAUAAAAAUUUUAGUCUCCUGAAAGUAAUGGCACUGCAAAGCAAAUUCUUCUGGUUUGUGCUUUCAUAUCCAUACAUGUUCUAUACCACUUAUCCUUCAGUGUCACGGGGAACCUGAAGACUAUCCCAGGGGGCAUUGGGCACAAGGUGGGGUACACGUUGGAUGGUGUAUUAUGUUUAAUAAAAUAAACUAUUAAAUCGCAUGUAAAUUAGAUAUGAAUUUCACUACAGAAUGGGCCCAUACCCAAAAUAUACCAUUAUUUAAAGCUUAAUAGUAUUUGAAGGGAAUGAUGUACAGUCAUGAAGCCAACUGUAAAGUGUUCAUAUAGGUGCCAGGUAUGACGCACACCUUUUAGAUUUCUGAUAUUUAUUCAAAUAAGUCAUACCUGACACCUAGUCGGAACAGUUUACAGUUGGAUGUGUGACUACAUCAUUCCCUUCA
ensembl:lncRNA